GGUUCCAUGGUUGAUAAAUCCAGGAUUUUGAUCAGCACCAAACAAUUCACCUAAAGAAGAGUGAACAUUUAACCGAGGAAAGGGAAAGAGAGAUCAAACAGGUAUUAAAAUAGAUUUAAUUGAUUUUUUGAAGUGAAUUUUUGAGUUCCCCUGUAAUUGUUGUAAUCUCUCUUUGUAGGUUGUGGCAUCAGUGAAUGAGCUUGCUCAAAUCAUGAGGGAUCUAUCUGUCCUUGUGAUAGAUCAGGGUACAAUUGUUGAUCGGAUAGACUACAACAUUCAGAAUGUUGCUUCAUCAGUGGAUGAGGGCUUUAAACAGCUGCAGAAGGUUCUAUGUCUUAUUCUUUCACAUAACGCUUAAGUGGGCAUGCGCACAUUCAUGCACAUGCUCAUCUAUUUUUUAGAAUAUGUUUUUGCUGAGGGUCAAUAUGUUUGGUGUUUUACCAAGAUCAUCCAUAUAUGAUUGAGUCUUCCAUUUUAAUUGAGAUUAAUUUGUGUAUAUGUUUGUGCGAGCAUUUGGAGGUCAGUUGAGCAAUAAUCAUGUUGGGUAUCCUGGAAUUGCAGGCAGAAAGAUCGCAGAAGAAAGGAGGGAUGGUGAUGUGUGCAACAGUGCUUGUUAUUAUGUGUUUCAUCAUGCUAGUCCUCUUGAUCCUCAAGCAGUUAUUUUUGUGAUCAUUUUAUGUUUGUUACUGAUACCUUGGCCCGCUAGUUGAAUGUGAACCUGCAUGUUAGGUUUGCAAGCUGACUGGGAAGUGUGUAAAGAUGACCUGAAUACGUGUCUGACCCACUUGAGUUGUGGGAAAUUAUUAUCUACAUGGGAGUUUCCAUUGCAGUUUUGCCAUUGGAAGAAAAUUUUGCCAGCAGACUGGGCCUUUUCUUUCUUUUCUUUUUAGUUUUUACCCCCUUUUUUAUACAUGUAUUUUUCUGUAGGCCCUACCAUUUUUGGUUGCUAGGCUCCUCAGCAUUUUUUAAAAGUAUAGCUUUAUAUUAACAAUUUUUUCUUGCAAAUAUAUUUAAUUUAAUAAAUGUAGAAGACAUCUUACUCCAGAAUAUGGCGAAUUGAAUUAUAGAUUUUUGUAAAUUAAUAAAGGGUGUAGUUUGAAUGUGGCUUGUGAGGCCUUUAGCGUUCAAGGAGGCUUAGAGAUGGUUGUCAUUGGUGAGCACCCACAAGUAUCCCCAGAAAGUCGCCUAGAGUCCAAUUCUUUUACAUGAUUCAUGUCAGUAUUGGAGGAGCAUGAUUGCUCAGAAUUCUCAGACUGCUUCAGUUGCUGAUUCAUUUGAUGAUUCUUAUGAGACUGCUAAAUUGACCUACGAGCCUUUACUUUAUCUCCAACAUUUAGAUCAUGAGAUGUUUCAUGGAGCAUUUAUCUAGCAAGGGGUAGCACCAGUUCUAAUAAAAUAUAGCAUUGCUGGGCAAUCAGACAAAUGAUUCUUCUGCACAGACCUCUCGAGCCUCCUUGUUCUGCAUUUCUCGUGCAGCUUUCUUCUUCAUGGAUAGGAAAGGUUAGAUACUGUCAUGUUCUCAUUGAAACUAGAGUUCAUCUCUUUAUGUUUGGACAGAUCUUUCAUCAUCAAUUCAAGUAUAAUCAACUAAAUUGUCUCGCAUGAGAUUUUAUAUUGCUUA
rnacentral:misc_RNA from 1 species